CUCUCUUUUUGGGGUGGUAGGGGUGGGGAGAUGUUUAAAGUUGUAGGUAAUAUAAAAAGACAUUAGUGCCCUUAGUUUAUUUUGUUUAUUUAGGCAUUCUAACAGCAUUGGCAGAAAUUGAAUUCAUAAUUCGUGCAUGUCCUUGACUAUUGUGUGAACAGUUGUUUCCUUCUUGUAAUUACCUACUAGGAAGUUCCAGGCUCUUCAA
rnacentral:misc_RNA from 1 species